rnacentral:rRNA from 1 species
GCUGGCGGCGUGCUUAACACAUGCAAGUCGCACGAGAACGCUUCAGCUUGCUGAAGUUAGUAAAGUGGCGCACGGGUGAGUAACGCGUGGGUAAUCUUCCCCCGAAUUGGGGAUAACAUUGCGAAAGCGAUGCUAAUACCGAAUGAUAUCUUUCGUACCCAGGUACUUAAGAUCAAAGGUGGCCUCUACAAGUAAGCUACUGUUUGGGGAUGAGCCCGCGUACCAUUAGCUUGUUGGUAGGGUAACGGCCUACCAAGGCUGCGAUGGUUAGCUGGUCUGAGAGGAUGAUCAGCCACACUGGAACUGACACACGGUCCAGACUCCUACGGGAGGCAGCAGUGAGGAAUUUUGCGCAAUGGGGGAAACCCUGACGCAGCAACGCCGCGUGAGUGAUGAAGGCUUUCGGGUCGUAAAGCUCUGUCAAGUGGGAAGAACCCACAUGGUGUUAAUAUCG